rnacentral:rRNA from 1 species
AACGAACGCUGGCGGCAUGCCUAACACAUGCAAGUCGAACGAGACCUUCGGGUCUAGUGGCGCACGGGUGCGUACCGCGUGGGAACCUGCCCUUAGGUUCGGAAUAACUCCCCGAAAGGGGUGCUAAUACCGGUUAAUGUCUUCGGACCAAAGAUCUAUCGCCUUUGGAUGGGCCCGCGUUGGAUUAGCUAGUUGGUAGGGUAAAAGCCUACCAAGGCGACGAUCCAUAGCUGGUCUGGGAGGAUGAUCAGCCACACUGGGACUGAGACACGGCCCAGACUCCUACGGGAGGCAGCAGUGGGGAAUAUUGGACAAUGAGCGAAAGCCUGAUCCAGCAAUGCCGCGUGAGUGAUGAAGGCCUUAGGGUUGUAAAGCUCUUUUACCCGGGAUGAUAAUGACAGUACCGGGAGAAUAAGCUCCGGCUAACUCCGUG